AUAGGACCUCUGAGCUUUAAUCUCUGAUCUCCCCUUUCUUUCUUACAGUGAAGGCAUUAUAUACCUUCUCUUCAAGGCUGUCUUUUGAUCUAGGGAGGAAGUUGCACUGAACUUCAAGGGAGUCUCCCAGUUCUCUCCUUUCACUGGAACCUCACGCUCACUGAACAGUGAUUCCUUGGGAAGCAGGGACCAGAUUUUGUGUUUCCCCCUCUGCACUUGUGGACUACUAUGGACUACUAUGGACUACCAGCUGCUCGGCACACCAGAUGCCGCCGUCAGCAGGUGGACCCUGCAAUGGCCACGGCCCCAGAAUGGGUUGCACAGGCCGAGGCUGUGGAUGGAGGUGGAGGUGGGAGUGGAGAGGUAGAAACAGGUAAGGAGGAGGGCAGCCAAGGUGUUAGUGUUCCUAAUACUAACUCUUUCAUUGUUGUGUCGAGCGGGGCUGCUGGGAAUUGUUCCAUAAAU